UACGGGGGGAGCAAGCGUUGUUCGGAUUUACUGGGCGUAAAGGGCGCGUAGGCGGCCAGCACAAGUCAGUUGUGAAAUCUCCGGGCUUAACUCGGAAAGGUCAACUGAUACUGUGCGGCUAGAGUGCAGAAGGGGCAACUGGAAUUCUCGGUGUAGCGGUGAAAUGCGCAGAUAUCAGGAGGAACACCGGUGGCGAAGGCGGGUCUCUGGGCCGAUAUUGACGCUGAGGAGCGAAAGCGUGGGGAGCAAACAGG
rnacentral:rRNA from 1 species